rnacentral:tRNA from 1 species
GCUAACGUAGCUUAAUUAAAGCAUAACACUGAAGAUGUUAAGACGAACCCUAAAAAGUUCCGCAGGCA